UACGGAGGGUGCGAGCGUUGUCCGGAAUCAUUGGGCGUAAAGGGCAAGUAGGUGGUCUCAUUUGUCUAGGGUGAAAUCCUUGAGCUUAACUCAAGAAGUGCCCUAGAAACGGUGGGACUAGAGUUCUGGAGAGGGUCGUGGAAUUCCCGGUGUAGCGGUGAAAUGCGUAGAGAUCGGGAGGAACACCAGAGGCGAAGGCGGCGACCUGGACAGAUACUGACACUCAACUGCGAAAGCGUGGGGAGCAAACAGG
rnacentral:rRNA from 1 species